rnacentral:rRNA from 1 species
AUUGAACGCUGGCGGCAGGCCUAACACAUGCAAGUCGGACGAGUGGCGGACGGGUGAGUAAUGUCUGGGAAACUGCCUGAUGGAGGGGGAUAACUACUGGAAACGGUAGCUAAUACCGCAUACCAUCAGAUGUGCCCAUAUGGGAUUAGCUAGUUGGGGGGGUAACGGCUCACCAAGGCGACGAUCCCUCGCUGGUCUGAGAGGAUGAUCAGCCACACUGGAACUGAGACACGGUCCAGACUCCUACGGGGGGCAGCAGUGGGGAAUAUUGGACAAUGGGCGCAAGCCGUAUGCAGCCAUGCCGCGUGUAUGAAGAAGGCCUUCGGGUUGUAAAGUACUUUCAGCAGGGAGGCGUUACCGGCAGAAGAAGCACCGGCUAACUCCGUGCCAGCAGCCGCGGUAAUAC